rnacentral:tRNA from 1 species
ACUAGCUAGGUGUUUUGCAUUUUAAUUUUUCGUAUUAAGGGUGGUAUAUUAUGCCAGUUAGUA